CUUUGCACAAGCCUUCCUAUACUCCAAGUAUUUUUGUGGUGAUUGAACCAUGAUGAGAUAAAAGCUUGUGGGGAGUCAGGUGAACUACUUCAUGUCUUCACCUCCAGGAAUGGAGACGCACAACUGCAUGCAAUUAGUUCAUUGUUUAUGGUAGCAAAGAACAAGUCUCCUUACAGUCAGUCAAUGUUUGUGUUUGUAUAUAAUAGCUAAUUCUAGCUUUGUUCAAGUUCUAGGAAAAAGGUGUUUUUGAUUUACCCAAGAGAAAGUCCUCCAAUUAUAUACCAACAGGAUAAGCACUGAGUUGUUGAUUUGAAUCUAACACCAAUUUAUUGUGGAUAAUGGUGUCUGGAGAGAAUGAUAUAUAGAUAAAUACUAGCAUAAUAAAAGAUAACAUCAAUCUUAAAAGCUUUGUCUUGCUUGCAUAUUUAAAUCACCAGGAGCUACAAAAGUACUAGCAGAAGGUUUGCAUGACAGAGAGCUGUUGGUGAUGGAAUAUCCAAAAACUGCAUGGGGCAUUUGAGCCACUGCGAUCAGGUUGAAGCAGAUGAAUUCAGCCUGGUAGUUUUGAAAAGUGUCAUAAACACCAGAAAACUGGAAGGAGUGUGGAUAACCAAGCAGGAAACUUUGUGUCAGAGAGAGGAAUUGAUCACAUGGUCACACAGCAUAAAAAUUUAUUGCUUGGAUACCACUAAGGCCACCUUUGCACCAGUGUUGCAGUAGCAGUAUCAGUUUAAUUAGAAGCUUACUGUGUGACUCCCACAAACCAACUGAUUAUUGACGCGGGGAAACUACUGGAGCAAGAAAGUUAUAUGAAGAUGAUAGAAGAGAGGGAGAUUUUUAAGGCUAGAGCUGCUGAAAGGAGUAUUUGCAGAGACAUCUAAAGAUCCAGUCCUGUUGAACAAAACUGACUUAUAAGGAGGCUACAAAUAUUCAGCCUUUGUAUAGCUUCAGCAUCAUUUUCAGUGAGUUCAUAUCCCUGUGCAGAGGCAGUCAUGCAUCCGUUCAUGCUCGGAGAAGAUCAGUCUCUGUUCUGUUCUAUGUGUUCAGGAGUGGCCUUGCCACAAACUGGAUGAGAAACAGCACAUUUCAGUUUGGAUCAAACUUCACACCGCUGCGGCUUCCUGACCAGAGUUGGCUCGCAUCUAAUUGAUUUGGAAAAUAUACUGUUAGAAUUAGUUCCCAUGGGGAAAUGAGUUCUGCUGACUGAUCUCAUUGGUCAGAGUAAAAUAAUGCACAGUGUAAAAUAUACAUAGCAAUUAAAGAACAAGGGUGUUUUCAGUGAAAACUAGAAGAAAAGAAAUAUUUAUCUUCUAUUGUCAUUUUUCGUAAAAUUGAAUAUGCUGUAACUGAGAUAUUUUUUUUUUCUUUUUUCUGUUUUGUGAAGUAAAUU
rnacentral:lncRNA from 1 species